UUUUUUUUUUUAAGAUUUUAUUUAUUUAUUUAUUUAUUUAGAAAGCAUGUAGGGGGGGCAGAGGGAGAAAAAAAGAGAGAAUCUUAGGUAGACUCCAUGCUGAGCACCUAGCCUGAUGUGAAGCUUAAUCUCAUGACCCUAAGCUCAUGACCUAAACUGGAAUUAAGAAUCGGAUGCUCAACCGACUGAGCCACCCAGGUGCACCCCCUUACUACCUGUUCUAAUUCAACCUCGAAUAUGCUUUAGUAGUGGCUAUGGAGUAAAUAGCCAAAUACAUAAGAAUAUAUUUCUAGCUGGCAUCUUGAGUCCUGGGCUAUUCCUGCUUUGUCCUGGCCUACACCUUCUGCUAGAUUUAGUCCCUCAAUCUUUAUACUCAAGAACCUACAAGGAUUCCCCAUAGCCCGUGAAUCAUGUCUAAGCUAUUCUGGCUGGCUUCAAGUCUCUCCUUAAUCUGGCUCCCAUGUACCGUGUGUUCACUCUGCUAAUCCCCAGGCACUCCAGGCUGUUGACAUACCUCACUAUGGUUCCUGUACAUGAUGCCUGGUUCUGCUUCUGGGCUCCAUUCACAGUCUCUUCACCCCUGUGCUGCCACCCAUUCUCCCCUUCCUACCCUCAAGAGCUUCCUAAACAUUAAAAAAGGCAUUGGAAACUGUUUUUUUUUGGGGGGGGGGCUAAUGAUUAAAAAUAAUUAACAUGCAAAAAUUGAGUUUGGUUUAAAAAUCCAGAAUUCCUUCAUCUUUUGAAAUAGUGGAAGAUUUGUCUACACUGGACUUUCCUUCUGACAUGACAUCUAUCGAGAGGAGGUGAGUAACAGCCAGUUACUUUAGGAGAGGACUGUUUUACCUGGCUCUCCCCAGUCCCCACCAUGCAGACAACACACCUGUAAACACCAGACCCAUUCACCUGUGUACAUUACCCACCUCGCUUCUUCCUUAUUUCAGUUGUGAAUCUAAUCAAAGCCCUAAGACCAAAUUUAAGACUAUUUCCUCCAUAAAAUAUAUCUUAAUUGUGUUUUAGUUGUUUCCCUGAGGAGGUAAGAAAUGUUGAUUUUCAACAAGAAUGUUCUAAUUUACUGGAGUUUACAAUGAUCCAUAGUUCUGCUGGAGUCCUAGCGGUUUGCAAUAGGCUUCCUUAAAAAAAAAAAAAAAGAUUUUAUUUAUUUAUUCAUGUGAGACAUAGAGAAAGAGGCAGAGACAUAGGCAGAGGAAGAAGCAGGUUCCCUGCAGGGAGCCUGACACGGGACUCGAUCCCAGGACCCCGGGAUCAUGCUCUGAGCCAAAGGCAGACCCUCAACCACUGAGCCACCCAGGCAUCCUCACAAUAGGCUUCUAAGCAGCCCUCUCUAUGUCCAGCCCCAUUCACACAGCUAAGACUUUCCUCACAGGAGAGGUGAUUUCAGAUGGCCUCUAGUGUCUUCUCCAACUCCACUCAAUAUGGGGUUCUGUGAUCUCUCUCCUACUCAGUUUCUCCUCCAUCAUGUCUCAUGAUGAGGCUGAGGGUGGUCCUAUUAACUGAACAUAGAUAGGAUGCACAGGGAACACAGGUGUAACUAUCUCAUCCCUGGUGGCAAAAUGAGAGCAGUAAGAGGAGGUAAGUGGGUCCUCAUUUGGCUGAUGGCACCAAGGAGGUUAACAUGGCAGCAAUCUAGAUAUGAAGAAUAAUCCAGACUCCCAGGUAUGAAAGUUGCAUAUGCAUCUGUAACUGCUGAGCACUGAGAGAGAGAGAGAGAGAGAGAGAGAGAGAGAGAGAGAGAAAGCUGUUACUAUCCCCAUUUUAGAAAUGAGAAGACUAAGGUCAGGAGCAUUAAGUAGCAAAUUAGUGUCUGAUCCAGGAGUUGACCCAUCUAUCUUAGUCCAACAUCUCUUUCUCUAACUUCUUUGAACUGGAUCUGAAAAUUUUGGUUGGAUUUGCAUUUGGGGAAUCUGGCUCUGAGACAGAAUAUUAACAGUUGGAUAGUGGACACAUGCUCUGUUAACCACUCAGUGUUCAUUAACCUCUUUCUCCUGCUUUUAGUCCAUCCAUUAGGAGAGAUCCAUCAUCAACUCCAGAACAUGGAACACAUAACCCAGCCCAGCCAAUUGCCAUUGCUCACACUCAUGGCCACAUGAUGAUUUGUUCAAGGAAGAGCAUGUGACCUGAGCCAAUCCAAUCAGGAUGAACCUCAGGAAUUUUAUAGGAGCUACCGGAGGAGGAGGAAAAAAAGUUCUUCUCUAGGGGACUUGAACUUUGGGAGAAUGUGAGGCUAAAACUGUUGCUGGCUCCAUCGUAUCACCAUAAGAUCAGAAUUGGUCCCAGAAUGAGGUCAACACAGAAAUCUGAACUCUACGAUGGAAGAAGAAACAGAAACAGAGUCUUGGUGACAUCAUUUGAGACCGAGUCAAACUGCAUUUGAGGCUGGAAUGGCCCUUAUACUCUUCAUAUUCCUACCAAUCAACUUCUAGCUGUUUAGACCAGUGUGGUCAUGUUUUGUGACACUUACAAUGAACAAGUCCUACAUGAAUUCUGGGUAUGAAAUAAAGUUAAAAGUAUGCAAAGUUCCAAAUUAUUUGGCCAAGGUUUCUUAAAUCCACCCCCCUUCUGGCCAUAAUUGUUCCCAGAUGCUGGUGUGCAGCCAAGACGGUGGGUGGAGGUCAAGGAGGGUCUGCAGAAAGAAAAGGAGUGUAGAGAAUUGGAGCCAGGUAAGACCAGGGAUUCCCUACCGUGACCUAACAUCACACCUGACGCCAGGACUAUGCUGUUCAGCAGUUAAGUGUGUGCUGUUAACUGAACAAUCACCCGUCAGAGAGAGAAAACACAGUGUCCACAGUCAUGCUCAAGUAAUUUAUUGGUGCUUUUUGAGAUGGUGAACAGGCAUCUGGCUAAAGGAGUCUGUGGAAAUAAUUUAA
rnacentral:lncRNA from 1 species